CGUUUGGAAACGAACGCUAAUACCGCAUAAUAUCUCCGGAUCAAAGAUUUAUCGCCUAGGGAUCAGCCCGCGUUGGAUUAGCUAGUUGGUGGGGUAACGGCCUACCAAGGCGACGAUCCAUAGCUGGUCUGAGAGGAUGAUCAGCCACACCGGGACUGAGACACGGCCCAGACACCUACGGGAGGCAGUAGUAAGGAAUAUUGGACAAUGGGGGAAACCCUGAUCCAGCCAUGCCGCGUGAGUGAUGAAGGCCUUCGGGUUGUAAAGCUCUUUUAGGUGUGAAAAUGAUGAUGGUAGCACCAGAAAAAG
rnacentral:rRNA from 1 species